AAGACACUAGUAAAACCGACUAUUACACCGCCUUGUCGAGGCAUAAUUGCGGGUUUAAACCCCGCGUGUCUUA
rnacentral:tRNA from 1 species